AUAUGAUAUAUAUAUAUAAGAAUUCCAAUUAAAAAAUGGAUUUCGAAUUAGUCCUCAUUCUUAACAUUUUACGGUUAUAGUUAACCUAGUAUGCAAUUGUAACGAAUCACUCACAAGGAUAUUGAGUUUGCCAUUAAACUCAUUUGAGACUCUAGCUAUGAGGUCUUGUCUUUCUGCACGAGACGCCACGUCACGGACCGAACCAGUUACUCUGUAUCCUUUUGUGUUCCAUUCAUUUAAGGAUUUAUUGAGUUCAGCUUCGUUGCGAGCGCAAGUGUGUACAGUGGCUCCAAGUUGUGCCAACUCCUCCACGAUAGCAUAUCUAGUGAUUAGUAAGGAUAUUAUAUCACAGGAAUCAAUAUUGGUGAAAAACAAGCGUCUUGCAAAACCCACUUAUUUUCUACAAGAAUUAAGGCUCUUUUGAAAUAUUUUAUCAAACCGGGGUAGUCAACGUUGAAAAACUUUAGUUAAACUAAAGUUUUUAGUGUCAUGUUAGUUUAAAAAAAAUAAUAAACUGACACUACAAUGUUUCACGUGAUAUUAUUAAAUCAAAAUUUUAAAAAAAUUAACAUGACACCUAAAACUCUUUUAAGCUAAUUUUUUUUUUCUUUGACCACCUCAUCUUGGUAAAUAUGAAAUUUGAAUAAAAUAUAGUAUAUAAUGAAUUUUAAUUUUGUGACAACAAAAUAAAAGAAGGUGUGUCAAUAUAUAAAACACUCAAUUCUAAUAUCUAUAUUACUAUAUAUACUCCUCACACAUAAGUUGGUUUGUCCUAACAUAGAGGUCUAUAUAUUAUGAUUAGGGUGUACAAAAACUAAUACAAUAAAAAUAUAUAAUCAAACUAAUUUUAAAUUGUUUUAAUCAAUUCAAUUAUGUAUUUAAAUAAUCAAAUUAGUUCAAAAAAUCAGUUUAGAAUAAAUUGAUUUUAAAAAAUUGAUUCUGAAUUGAUUGUAAACUAGUCUUGAACCUGUUCCAAGAAUUGAAUUGAUUUUGAACUAUUUUUUUAAAAUAAUUUGUGAUUACUCAAUUUUAAAAUAACUAGAGCCUUAUUUUAAUAAUUUAUUUGUAAAUUUUAACCCUCUUUCCUCAAUCAGCCUACAAACAUGUUUGCUUUGAAGUAGCAUUAAUUAUAGCCACUAGCUUUGUUCUGUUAAUUGAUAGUAGUAGUUUGCAUAUUAAUUAACAUGUAUUUUGAGUAAGGAGUUUCAAAUUUGGAAGAAGGAGGAACAGAAAAUGAAAUGAAUAAAUAUGGAAGAAGGAGAGGUGGUAACCCGAUUCCUUUGGAACCACCGGUAACGAGAGCUGUCAUCCCCUGCAAAGACCACCUGCUGCUUUUGCUAUCAAAAUUUGCCUCAGCUGCCAUUUCUCUUCACUGAAGGAUAAACCUUUGAGAUAUCCGAUACUUUUUUUAUUUGUUUAUUUAUUAAGAUAUCCGAUACUUCAUACUAAUACUUUCUCAAUGGCUUAUAUUUGUAGUCAUAAUCAUUCUCUAUCUACUGGAUAAAGUUUAGACUUUAGAGUUAAAAGUUAGGCCGGUUGCUUGACCAAAUUGUUUUCUGCUCGUUGGUGGAGCAUAAGAGGUGCAUUAUGGUAAUAUAAGUGAUGGGAUUUAUUGGUUGGAAAUGAAGUGGUUACUGUGGUUACAAUGGUUACCUAGUACUGGGGUUCGGAACUUUGUAUUGGGGGUAUUUUGUUAGCUGUGUUUUUUAUAAUUCUCAUGCUGACUUUUGUAAUUUUAAUUUCUUUGGUAUUUCUUAUGUCCUAUUAUAUUUAAUAUAUACAAUUUAUUUAUCGAUAAAAAAAUAUAUUAAGAUUGAACUUUAUUUGCAGACAUAUAUUUUAUUAUUAAAGAUUUAAAUAUAUUUUGUUUAAUAUUUUUAAUCUCUUAAAUUAAAGAUAUUUCUUUAAUGUUCAAAUAAAAAAUUAUAUUGUCUAGUCUUGGACUGUAUACAUGCUGAUGAUGCAGUGCAGCAUUGGAGCGGACACAAAACGAAAAAAACACAAAAUAAGACAUGCUAUUGUGACAUUCUCUUCUCUUCCGCGGGAUUUCACCCUACCAAACGCACGCUACAACUUCGUUUGUCGACCAAAUCAGUUAGCUAACUUAGUUCAAUGAUCGCCGCCACGUACAAAACAAAAAAGUGAAAAACACAAAACAUGAACCGAUGUACGUAGACGUGAUAACUGAGAAGUAAGUGAUUCGUAGCGUGGUAUGAUGCUUUUGUCCUCCUCACAAUUAGUCAAUGUAGUAUUUACAAUUGAGAAUUUUUUUUUUAUUCUAAAACUCCCAUUAUUAUUUGUCUGAACCUAAUUUAAGAAUCUAAUUUUAAAUUUGUGUCAUCUUUAUUAAGAAUAAAAAUAGAAAAUUAGGUAUUUAUGUUAGUAAGUCAACUAUGGACAAUGCAAAAGUCAGUCCAAUAAUGAAUGAGACUAAAAAUAUUUUUUAAGAGAAAUAUUUUACUUUAAAUGAGAUAACUAUUUAAUAGGUAUUUUUGCCAACAUAGGUAUAUCUUUUGUUAACAUAUGAGAUCUUUUUAUUUUGUAAAAAUCAAUAGUAAAUAUUUUUUUUUGUUGAUCUAUAGCUUGGACUUUAAUGUUUUACCUUUGGGUUUGUCUUGAAGAAUAGUGAUCUUUUAUUUGCCCCCAUUUUAUAUUCUAAUAAUAUGUAAGCAUAAAUAUUAAUAACUUUAAGAUAAAAAAAAUUAAAAAUAAAAUAAUAUUAUUAAUACAAAUAUGUAUGUUUGAUUUAAUAAUUAUAAUUUAAUUAUCACUUAAUUAAACUUAUACUUAGAUGAAUAUAAAUACUAAUGAGUAAGAAUUAUUUUUUUUUGUAUCAAACUCUCUUUACUCUCAAUUAAAAUUUAUGUGAAUGCUAGACUUACAUAACCUGUCUCUGAACAAGUUCAAAUCAAGGGUAAAUUUCCAUAACCCAUCAAAUGGGUUGGGUUGGGUUGCACAUUUCAAUUCUACCAACCCAUAUAAUCCAUUAAGUAUUUGGUUAUACUAAUUAGAGGUGUGAAAAUAAGUUCAAAUCAACGGUAGACUCGCAUAUCUCGUCCAAAUGGUUUGGGUUGUACAUUUCAAUCCACCAACUUAUAUAAUCCAAUCCGUUUAAUUUAUGAAAUCAAUUCGGGUUGGGUUGGUGUUGACUUGUCAAGUCCCCUUUCCUCCUUUUUUCUUCAUAGACUAGAUUUAACACUAAUGCUUUUUUAUUAUCAUCUUUUUAAGUAUUUUCUUGAUUUAUUAGUUUUAUAAUAUUUUUCCUCUUUUUUAAUUAUGUUUGUUUAUAAAAUUUUGGGAAAAAUUUAAGAUAAAUAAAAUGAAUAAAUGUUUUUGACUAGGUUGUAAUUUUAAUCCUUUUUUAAUUCUUGAUCCACGAUUUACUAUUUUUUCAUGAUUUUAGUUCACAUAUUUUCAAAAAUAUGUAAUUUUGAUUAAAUCUUUAAUUUUACAUAAUAUCUUUGUUUCUUUUAUUUUUUAUAUGUUAACCAAUUACAUUAUUCUUAAUGACCCUGAUAAUUAAUAUAUUAGAUUUAAGGUUGAGUUCAACAAAAAUAAAAGAAAUAAUAAAUAAAUAUUGAAUGAUUAUAUUAAAUAUUAUUAUUUUUGGAGUGUGAUAUUAUUAUUAUUAUUAUUAUUAUUAUUAUUAUUAUUAUUAUUAUUAUUAUUAUUAUUAUUAUUAUUAUUAUAUAGUGUGUACGGUAGAAGAAAUUAUUACAUAUUGUUGGAUCAUCAUGCAUUUAUAGUAUUAACCAAAUUUUAUGUGACAUAUAACCAACAAAUUUUAUUUAUGAAAAAAAAUUAAAAUUAUUUUUUAUAUGUCAUAAAAUUGAUACAACCAAAAUAAUUCCGAUUAAGUAAUAACUUAUCAUAUAGUAAAAUUUUCAUAUAUGACUAGAACUUGAUACUCUAAAAUUAUAAAUCGAACAUAGGAGAGAGUACACUCUUAACUUAUUCUUAACAUCACAAGACUAAGCAUGGAAAAUCUUACAAUAAGCCUAGCUUAUGUAUAGGCCGUUGACAGUGAAGCCGCCAUCAACACAAAUUAUCUGUCCAGUUACGUAAGAGGCUGCGGGUAAGCAGAGGAAUGCCACAACCGAAGACACCUCGUCUCCUUCUCCGAACCGUCCAAGAGGGGUUCGUGGAAUGUAUGCAUUAGCAAUUUUUCCCUCUUUUAAAUACUGCAAGUGCAAAGAAACAAUGAUAAAAAGAAUAAAAUACACUAACAAUAACAAACAAAUGAGCUAUAAGAUUGGUAUAGGGGUGAAGAGAAAAGAAAGAGGUUAUGGAUUUUUUAAUCCUGACAAAAUAAACUAAUAAUAUUAAUAAUUAAUAUUUGUCAAUAAAAAAUAAUAAUAAACAAAAAAAUUACCUCAUCAGCAGCAGGGGUUCUGAUCAUUCCUGGUGCAACGCAAUUAGUCCUUAUAUUGUCUUUGGCCCAUUCACAUGCCAAAUUUUUUGUCAUUUGAUUCAUUGCUCCUGCAUGUCAAUCGCAUACAUAGUUUGAAGUUACCAGUUAGGCACUUAGUUUAAGUUUACUAUCCUCUCUAUCGAUAUAAACAAUUAAUUACCUUUUGUUGCACUAUAUACAACGGAUCCUAAAUUUAUUGAUACCACACCUCCAAUGGAGGAUAUGAAAACGAUGCUUGCAGCUUCGGAGGCUUUUAGGAGAGGAUGUGCAAGCUGGCAUAGGUGGAAAGCAGAUUGCAAAUUCGUAUUCACCAGAAAUAAAAAGUCUUCCUCUGUGUAUUCCAAGAGGUCUUUCCAUAUGUUUGUUCCCACGUUGUUUACCUAAAUCCAUAUGUUAAUGGAAGCCUAAUACGAUAGAAAAUUAAAAACAUUAAGGCCAAAAAUCUUCCUAAUUAAAAAAUGGAUUUUGAAUUAUUUCUUGAGAGUCUAAUAACACACUCUUUUGGUACAUAUUCUUAUUGGUUAAAAUAUAUUAAAAAUUAUAAAAAUAAAAAAGAAAAUUAUUAAAUAAGAUGUGAGAUCUAUUUAAUAUUGUGAUAUUCAAUAAAUUUUAACAAAAAUAAUAAAAGAUGCCUCCAAAAUAGUGUGUUAAAGAAUGUAAUCUUAAAAUAUCUCUUAUUCCUUAUACUCCUUUUUGUUUUAUUAUAAUUGUUAUUCUAAAUUAUUUUACAUAAAUCAACAAAAAUUAAUAAAUAGAUGAAAAAAAAAUAAUAACUUUAUAAAAUUAAAACUUUUAUCAUUAAUUUAUUUUUUGUUUUUUAUUUCAUAUCUUAAUAUCAUAAGAAAUAUAAGUUAAAAAAGUAAUUAAUAUUAUAUUAAAAAACUAAAACCACAAAUAUUUGGGGAUAAUUUAUUUUUUUAAAAAAAGACAAUUAUAAUGGAACACAAAAUAAUUAUGAAGGGACAGACGAAGGGAGUAGUACUUAAUGAGAAAAUGUUGUUACUAACAAGUAUAUUGAGUUUGCCAUUAAACUCAGAGGAGAGUCUAGCAAUGAGGUCUUGUCUUUCUGCACGAGACGCCACGUCACAGACGGAACCAGUUACUCUGUAUCCUUUUGUGUUCCAUUCAUUUAAGGAUUC
rnacentral:lncRNA from 1 species